rnacentral:rRNA from 1 species
GCCAGCAGCCAUAUCAACACUAAAGCUAAGCGGGGUUGCACUUGAUCAGUACCUGGAUGAGAGACCUCCUGGGAAGCCAUGGUUGCUGCUGGAA